rnacentral:piRNA from 1 species
UUCUCAGAACAAGAGGAACCAAGUUAGGGC